GACGAACCGUCCUAACGUUGUUCGGAAUCACUGGGCUUAAAGGGCGCGUAGGCGGGUCAGCAAGUCUAGGGUGAAAUCUUUCGGCUUAACCGGAAAACUGCCUUGGAUACUGCUGAUCUCGAGGGAGGUAGGGGUCUGUGGAACUUCUGGUGGAGCGGUGAAAUGCGUUGAUAUCAGAAGGAACGCCGGUGGCGAAAGCGACGGACUGGACCUUCACUGACGCUGAGGCGCGAAAGCUAGGGGAGCAAACGGG
rnacentral:rRNA from 1 species